rnacentral:lncRNA from 1 species
CAGAAGUUUACAUACACUCAAUUAGUAUUUGGUAGCAUUGCCUUUUAAUUGUUUAACUUGGGUCAAACGUUUUGGGUAGCCUUCCACAAGCUUCCCACAAUAAGUUGGGUGAAUUUUGUCCCAUUCCUCCUGACAGAGCUGGUGUAACUGAGUCAGGUUUGUAGGCCUCCUUGCUCGCACACGCUUUUUCAGUUCUGCCCACAAAUUUUCUAUAGAAUUGAGGUCAGGGCUUUGUGAUGGCCACUCCAAUACCUUGACUUUGUUGUCCUUAAGCCAUUUUGCCACAACUUUGGAGGUAUGCUUGAGGUCAUUGUCCAUCUGGAAGACCCAUUUGCGACCAAGCUUUAACUUCCUGACUGAUGUCUUGAGAUGUUGCUUUAAUAUAUCCACAUAAUUUUCCUACCUCAUGAUGCCAUCUAUUUUGUGAAGUGCACCAGUCCCUCCUGCAGCAAAGCACCCCCACAACAUGAUGCUGCCCCCCCCAUGCUUCACGGUUGUGAUGGUGUUCUUCGGCUUGCAAGCCUCCCCCUUUUUACUCCAAACAUAACGAUGGUCAUUAUGGCCAAACAGUUCUAUUUUUGUUUCAUCAGACCAGAGGACAUUUCUCCAAAAAGUACGAUCUUUGUCCCCAUGUGCAGUUGCAAACCAUAGUCUGGCUUUUUUAUGGCGGUUUUGGAGCAGUGGCUUCUUCCUUGCUGAGAGGCCUUUCAGGUUAUGUCAAUAUAGGAGUCGUUUUAUGGAGGAUAUAGAUACUUUUGUACCUGUUUCCUCCAGCAUCUUCACAAGGUCCUUUGCUGUUGUUCUGGCAUUGAUUUGCACUUUUCGCAUCAAAGUACGCUCUAGGAGACAGUACGCAUCUCCUUCCUGAGCGGUAUGACAGCUGUGUGUUCCCAUGGUGUUUAUACUUGCGUACUAUUGUUUGUACAGAUGAAUGUGGUACCUUCAGACGUUUGAAAUUGCUCCCAAGGAUGAACCAGACUUGUGGAGGUCUACAAUUUUUUUUCUGAGGUCUUGGCUCGUUUGAUUUCCCCAUGAUGUCAAGCAAAGAGGCAAUGAGUUUGAAGGUAGGCCUUGAAAUACAUCCACAGGUACACCUCCAAUUGACUCAAAUGAUGUAAAUUAGCCUAUCAGAAGCUUCUAAAGCCAUGACAUCCUUUUCUGGAAUUGUCCCGAUGGCAGCCUCCCCUGUCCUCUGGAGGGCUAGCAGGGUAUACGUGUGCUGGUCUGGACAUCUCUCAGAGGGCAGGAUCUGUCUCAGCCCCAUCUGGGUGAAGACCAAAUGGAACGCCCGUGGAACCGGGGCCUUCAGGUUCCAGAUAAAGCGUGUUGGAAAAGACUCCUAUGACUGAGGGAGUGGGUAGGGAGAUGAUCGAUGUCAACAGCUUGACUCCUCUUCCACGUCUGUGAGCUACGGCCUACUGAACAAACAUAGGCCUGGCCGUUCAACAGUUCAAACUGCCAUAUAUCUGUGAUGCUGUACCCAUAAACGUCCUUAUCUUUAGAUAAUCACUCUCUUCCUCUCCCUCUCUCUCUGAAGCACACACACAAGCACUCUCUCUCUCCUUCUAUCUGUCUGACUUAAGCUUUCCCCAAAACCUUACCUAGUAACAUAGCCGAGAUAUAAUCUGAUUGUGUGACUGUUUGACAAUGGAGAUGUUACUGGGAAGCCCUGUUUGUCCCUCGCUGUUACAUGUACAGCUAUUACAGUCCAGCUGUCACUGUUGACACUGGGAUAAGACGCGUAAGCAACAACUUACGGGGGCUUGACUAAACAUU